CGUAUGAAUCUACCUAGUAGUGGGGGAUAGCCCAGAGAAAUUUGGAUUAAUACCGCAUACGCCCUACGGGGGAAAGGAGGGGAUCUGUUUACAGACCUUUCGCUAUUAGAUGAGCCUGCGUGAGAUUAGCUUGUUGGUGAGGUAAAGGCUCACCAAGGCGACUAUCUCUAGCUGGUCUGAGAGGAUGAUCAGCCACACUGGGACUGAGACACGGCCCAGACUCCUACGGGAGGCAGCAGUGGGGAAUAUUGGACAAUGGGCGCAAGCCUGAUCCAGCCAUGCCGCGUGUGUGAAGAAGGCUUUCUGGUUGUAAAGCACUUUCAGCGAGGAGGAAAGGUUGACGUUUUAAUACGCGUCAGCUGUGACGUUACUCGCAUAAUAAGUUCCGGCUAUCUCCGUGCUU
rnacentral:rRNA from 1 species